AAUUCUCAACCUUACUGGCUUUUUCUUUUGUGAAGCUGGUCUGGCUUGGAUUGGUGGGAGUUUGCUGGUCUUCUUUUGUGUCAGCUCUCCUCAAAUGCAUUAGCCAAGGAAUCGCUUUCAGCUCUCCUUGAUAUGAUAGCCAUCUAUAUAUCAUUGAGACCCUGCGGUGACUUUGCUUCAAAGAGUCUCUUUCAAAGACACUGUUUUGACUU
rnacentral:misc_RNA from 1 species